AUCUCGGCUCUAACGAGCAGACUUGAACUGCGCCUUCCCAUCUGCAAUAAUUAUGCAACAUGAGGUGGGAUGAUCCGACAGGCUUCCCACUCACGCUGUAAUGAUGACCACAUAUAGCUUCUUAUCCUCCACCGCACCUGCAUAACAGCCCGACGCGGGAAGGACACGAGCGGGAGGGCGGCGGGCAGUUUGGAUGGAAGUUGUUGGUGAGGAAGGGUGAAACAGGACAAACCUGAGUGGAGCUGCUGGUAAAGCUUUCUCAUUUUCGAUCAAAUCACGCACGUGCGCGCCUUGUACAAGCUCUGCUACAGUGCAGCCGAGCGCACGCGCACUUUGGAAACCCGCUCCUCUCCUUUGGUGCGCCGCUCAGCUGAGAGUCAGCCACUCUACUCUGCUGCCUUUCUCAUUUUUUGCGCCCUUGCCGCUCCGCUGGAUGUUUGCGCAAAGGAUAUCGCCUCCACCGCUCAGUCUCCGCAUCUCCGCGGCUUCACCUGUGAACUUAAACAGCUCUGUUCCUCGCCUUGCCUAAUUCGGACACGAUCAUGGCUGUUAGUCGGGGGUGAGGGAACCUUCAUCAUCAUCGAGCCCCAAUUUGGGAGCUCGUUUUUAUUUAUUUGUUUAAAAAAAUUGUUUUAUUUAUUUUAUUUUUUGUUUUUCUUGCCAGUUUUGGAAAGUUGUAGUGCGCCAUGGAGCGAGAGCGCACACUUUAAUAGCUCUUUAUUUCCUCCAAAUUCUUGAGAGUUGUUUGAGAAUGAAGGCAUGUGAGUCACCCGCGGCGUGAAACAUGCGAAAGUCUCCACGGAUCCUCUGAUUCUGGAGAGAAAAAGGCGACACACACGGAGCAAGUCGUCCCGGGGAUUGCGCUGCAGAGAACUGGGUUUCAGGACCGAUGAGCCAACAUGGGUACAUUGCUGUGUGAUGGACGGAUGACGCACCUCCUCUUCCCUCUGCUUCUCCUUUUGCGAGUUCCCCUGUUGUUCAGCUUUGGCGAGCGCACCUGCCCCAACAGCUGCCGCUGUGAGGGGAAAACUGUACAUUGUGACUCGUCUGGAUUUUUAGAUGUCCCAGAAAACAUCUCAGUAGGCUGCCAGGGCCUCUCCCUGCGCUACAAUGAGCUGCACACCCUUCUACCUUAUCAGUUUGCUCAUCUCAGCCAGCUCCUGUGGAUAUACUUGGACCAUAAUCAGAUCUCAGCCGUGGACAGCCGAGCAUUUCAGGGGGUCCGCAGGUUAAAAGAGCUAAUACUUAGCUCCAACAGGAUCACGUCCCUGCAUAAUUCAACAUUUCAUGGCAUUCCUAACCUUCGCAGUCUGGACUUGUCAUACAACAAACUGGAAAUCCUGCAACCAGGUCAAUUUCAUGGUUUACGAAAACUCCAAAACCUACACCUACGCUCCAACGGUCUUUCCAACAUUCCAAUUCGAGCAUUUUUAGAGUGCAGAAGUUUGGAGUUUCUAGAUUUGGGCUACAAUAGGAUCAAAGCUCUAACCCGCACCACCUUCCUGGGUUUACAGAGGCUGAUGGAAUUGCAUUUGGAACACAACCAGUUCUCGCGGAUCAACUUUUUUCUCUUUCCACGCUUAGCAAAUCUGAGAUCGCUCUAUCUGCAAUGGAAUCGCAUUCGAGUUGUCAACCAGGGCCUUCCAUGGACUUGGUACACGCUGCAAAAACUGGAUCUGUCUGGAAAUGAAAUCCAAACACUGGACCCGGCUGUGUUCCACUGCCUGCCCAACCUCCAAGCUUUAAAUCUGGAAUCCAACAAGUUGUCUAACGUGUCCCAGGAGGCUGUGUCAGCAUGGAUCUCACUGACCACCAUCAGCCUAGCUGGCAACAUGUGGGAUUGUGGAAUGGGCAUUUGUCCCCUUGUGGCUUGGUUGAGAAAUUUCCGGGGAACAAAGGACACCACAAUGAUAUGCAGCAGCCCAAAGCAGCUCCAGGGAGAAAAGAUCAUGGACGUCACUCGAAACCACGGUAUUUGUGAGGAAAACGAUUACUUUUUGACAGAAACACCAUCACCAACGUCGGAGCUGAUUUCAGAAGCCACUGCUGAACCAACCUUUGGCCCCACUAGUGGUUCUCCAACCUCCCCACCAGCUAUUACCUUCGGUCCCCUCCCCCCAUUCAGACUUCGACCUAUCCCACAUCCUACCUUCCCUGGCCACAUGAGCAAAGACCCUAAAAACACGGUGAUCCGUCCUCAACCCACUCACGUUUCACCCCCGGUGAUGGAGCAAAUGACUCUGCACAAAGUUGUGGUGGGCAGCGUGGCACUUUUCUUCACCAUGUCACUGAUUUUGACAAUUAUUUAUGUGCUGUGGCGCCGUUAUCCAGGUGCAACCAGGUUGCUGCAGCAGCGAUCGAUGGUGGGACGCCGGCGUCGCAAAAAGAGCCCAGAGCCAGAGCAAAACCUCAGCUCCCAGCUUCAAGAGUAUUACAUGAGCUACAACCCUGCUGCCACACCAGAGGCACUGGAGGUGCUAGGCAAUGGCACCAGCUCCUGCACUUGCACAAUUUCUGGCUCCAGGGAGUGUGAGGUAUGACCCAUCGCUUCAGCCCUAAAAAUAAAAACGCUAAAUCAAAACACAAGGCUCGAGAGAGAGAAUGAGUACACCUGUCCACGCCCCCUACCUGGUGCCUGGUUAGGAGACGUGCCUACAAUCCAUUAAUUCUCAGAAAGGACACUUGUUGGACAACGCAACAAAUCAAGGAGAGACACCAUAUGCAGAGGAACUAACCAGGAUCCUGUCAUUCCAAAAAGACAACUAUGGACCAGAAGAAAGGGGAGAUAUUACAACUUUUUUUCAAACAAUUUUAUAGCAUCUUUUUGUGGUCUUUGGCUUUGGCAUGUUUCACAAACAAAGAAGUCUGUGGGCAAUGUUCUUUAUGGAGAACAUCAGAGCCUUGAAGGACAAACUAAUAGGAUAGGCAUAAACGUUACAACUUUUUUGUAAUAAAAAGGCUCUCUCCAGCAGGACAACAUGGCAGUGUACAAAAAGAGGGUGAGGACUCCUCCCAUGACACACCUGUGUAUAAUUUAAAGAGGGUUUCCAUAUUUUAAAUUCAUAAAAAGCAUAAAUAUAUCAUUUUUUCAAAACCUUUUUUAAAAGAAAGAUUAUUCCUAUGUGCAAUGAUAGUACCUCACUGGAGCAGAAAAUCACACACAGGUUUUAGUUCAGUGAAUCUACCUUUUUCCAGCUGGAAGAGUUUUAAAGCUUGUGAAAACUGCUCCUACUGUUUUAAUUAAAAAAAAUUAUUGGGGGGGGGGGGAUUUUUCCCCAAAUUUUCUUUUAAAUGCAACCAGGCAUCAAUUUGGCGGCCAAUAAGAGACAAAAGAACACAAGAAACGCUCUUCAAUCCAUGAUAAAAGUGUAAUUUCCUAAAAUUCUAAUGUUGUUGAUGUUGUACUUUUAUUAGUAUAUGUCUAUGCCGGUUGCAGCAUCUGAUACCAAAGAGCCAAAUGGAUCUUUGUUUGCUUUUGGCUCACCUUAACACAACGG